rnacentral:tRNA from 2 species
GGGCGGUUAGCUCAGUCCGGUCAGAGCGCUUCGCUGGCAGCGGAGAGGCCCCGAGUUCGAAUCUCGGCCCGUCCA